rnacentral:misc_RNA from 1 species
UUUUAGUAGGAUUGCGUGAGGGAUGGCAGUGGAAAGCCCACAGCGCGGAGGUACGACAAGCGCGGACUUGAAACGGACAGCCCGACCCCGC